GCUCCACCGCUGUCGGGGAACCGCGCCAAUUUUCGCUUCAGUGCUAGACCAUCCAAAGUGUCUAUCACCGGGUGAAAAUUCGCAUGGGUCCCCGACGCGGAA
rnacentral:pre_miRNA from 15 species